UCCUUCCUUCCCUCCUUCCUUCCUGCUCUCCCACUUCCCCUCCCUCCCUCUCCCUCUCCCUCUCCCUCUUGUUCUUUUCUGGGAGCCAUUGUAGCACCUUGCUCGGGCCAGGCAAGCCUUCCACCACCGAGCCACACGCCGCUCCCUGCAGGACUGUAAUUUGCAGCAACUUUCUGAGUGUGGAGCAGCCCACCUGGGCCUGGAGCUGAGCGGCUGGAGCAGCUGCCGCUUGCAGCUAGGAGGCGGAGCUCUGCGGGACAAGCUAGGAGCAGACAGUGAAGGGGUCUGUGCAGGGACUGGGGGAGAACGCCCUCCUUCGUCUCCGCGCUAUUUGCACCUCGACCUUCAUCCCGUGCCCAGACACAGGUGUAGGGUGUGGCUGUCCUUGCGCCCGAGUCUCCCUGAACCAGAGAAGCAGGAGGGAAGAGCCACAUGUUUAUCUUUACCCCUUUCUAAACUUCAGGCAAUAAUUACUGAGGCCUUUUAAAAAUCACAUUAAUUCUUAUGUCUGCAUAGAAAUUGGGGCUCAUUAACUGGUAUUACAGUGGGUUUUUUUUCCAUUUUAAUUAAAAGGUCCCUGCCAGAGGAGAGUGCCGGCAAAGAGUUUUCCUACUCUCUGGGCCUCCAGGGUGUGGACCCUGGGCCCCACGGGGCCGUUGGGUGACGCGUGUGUGCAAGUGACAGGGCGGGGCCUCAGGGAAUGGAAUGAAAGUUAUUUCUCUUUGCAAAACCCAGGGUGGGGAGGAAACACUUAACCCAGACUAGUGUCCCGGUCUGCCGUCUGCACAGCUGUCUCUUGCUGGAGCUUGAGUUCCUGAUGAGUCGCAGCGCAUGACAGCUUCCUCCAGCAUCGCCCCAGCUGCCCAGGGCGGAGUGUGGCCACCAGCCUCUGCCGCUUCCCCCGGAGCACCUGCCUUUGGCCCUUAGUGUCACUGGGCUGCCUUGAGCCGUCGCAGAAGGUAACUCCCGGUGCUGUGGAACGCUAGCCCCACCCGCAGCGUCCAGCCUCACCCCGGCUGAGGACUGAAUUAUUCAAGUCUGAAUCCGCUUCAUUUGGCUCCACCAAGUGCCUCAUGGCCGGCCCUGGCACAGCGCAUGUCCCCGGCUGCUCUGCUGCAGCAAGCGUGGGUCCCAGGCCGUCCCUGAAGACCCCAGCCGCGGCCGCUGGGAUGAGUCUUCAGUCCAGUCGAUGAGAAGGCCCCCGCGACCAUAACCGAGAAAACCCCGCGUUUGCAGCAGGACACCUGCUCGUUUCCCUGGUAGUCAACGGCCCCGGACCCUCCUUGGUCAGCCCGAGGCCGCAGUGGAGGUCUAACAAAGCUCUUCCCGAGGGGCUGUCGGCCCUCCUGUCCCGAGUCCCCCGCCAGCGUCCUCCUGUCCUCGGUCCUCGCAGGGCAGAUUCCACGAGUGGAAAGCUCGCCUCGCCGCCCUCCGAGCCUGCCUCUCGCUCCUCCCGCACUUGUCUCUCAAGGGCAGGGCUCCUUCCCGUGCCAUCCAUCCGUCCCCGAUAUUCUUUCUUACGCCCUGGCCCUUCUAGUGCCUGUGAACUCUUGGGUAGAGGUCAAGGCGCCCACAGGACCCUGACUAAGUCCACGCCCCCGCGUUCUGCUCAGGUCGGCCAGCUGGUCCAUACUCCAGUGUCGGGUGGGGCUGGGGCUGACUCUUGGAGGGACUGGGCCAGGCCAGGUCCCUGGGCGGCAUGAACUCCAUUGCCCCGAACGUCAGCAGCCCGUAUCUGCAGGUGCCGCGUUGCAAGAGCUGUUUCUCAAACGCGCUCAUCAAAAGGCGGGAUGGCUUUUCCGGGUUAAUUGCUCCCCAUGAGGGAAGGGGCCUUGCCCUUCGGGUCCAAAUACAUCAGGGCGUUUGUGCAUUUGUAAGCUUCCUUCCCUAACAGUUCCCCCGAGGACUCAGAGCUCUGCUGCUGCUCCGGGGUGAGGACACUGAUGUAAGCUUGCACCCACCUCUCAGUGCCUCCUUAGGGAAUUCAGCUCCACAGAUGCCAGUUCACUGAGUGUAAUUGGCUGAAAGCGUCUCUGACUUUACUAUACUGGUGGUAGGUUCUUGAGGAUGAAUUAAUAUUUGGAAUUGUUUAAAACAGGCAUUAGUAUUAAAUGGAAUCAAUUCCUUACUUUUUAUGCUAAUGUUUUGCAGCCUGGAAGUCACUAUGAUAUGAACGUUUCAUAGGACAAUAGUUUUAGACACGUUUGCUGUUAUUCUGAAGGUGAUAGGGUGGUUUCUCAGCAUUUUAUUGAUGUGUGCAACAGGAUCAGGUAGUGGUAACUAUCUAUAGUUCUGCUUUUGUGAUUCAUCUAAGUGCUGUGUGACUUUGUAGAGUCAGAGGGGUCACUGGGGAUACACUGGGGCUGUGUAGCUCCUACCUGUUUCUCUAGAGUCCGCUUCUGAGACACAUGCACACACACACACACACACACUCUCUCUCUCUCUUUCUGUCUCUGUCUCUCUGUCUGUCUGUCUGUCUGUCUCUCUCUCUCUCCCCAAACCUCCCCAAACCUUUGCUUGUUUACUUGCCUGGCACCACUCCCAGCAGAGGGCACUGACUGUCAUGGAAUGAAAAAGAACAGGAGAGAACAUAUCCAAGAAAAGAAUAAAGG